AACGAACGCUGGCGGCAUGCCUAACACAUGCAAGUCGAACGAAGCCUUCGGGCUUAGUGGCGCACGGGUGCGUAACGCGUGGGAAUCUGCCCUUAGGUACGGAAUAACUCAGGGAAACUUGUGCUAAUACCGUAUGAUGUCGAGAGACCAAAGAUUUAUCGCCUAGGGAUGAGCCCGCGUAGGAUUAGCUAGUUGGUGGGGUAAAGGCCUACCAAGGCGACGAUCCUUAGCUGGUCUGAGAGGAUGAUCAGCCACACUGGGACUGAGACACGGCCCAGACUCCUACGGGAGGCAGCAGUGGGGAAUAUUGGACAAUGGGCGAAAGCCUGAUCCAGCAAUGCCGCGUGAGUGAAGAAGGCCUCGGGUUGUAAAGCUCUUUUACCCGGGAAGAUAAUGACUGUACCGGGAGAAUAAGCCCCGGCUAACUCCGUGCCAGCAGCCGCGGU
rnacentral:rRNA from 1 species